GAUGAAGAAAGAGAAAUUCUUGUUGAUGAAGAAUAUGAGUUAUAUCAAGAUCCCUCACCAUCCAUGGAGUUGUAUCCCUUGUCGCACAUUCAAGAGGCCACUCCUGUGCCCUCUGUGAAUGAACUUCACUUUGGUACACAGUGGUUGCAUGAUAAUGAACCAUCCGAGUCUCAAGAGGCAAGAACCGGGAGGACUGUCUAUUCCCAGGAGGCACAGCCGUAUGGCUAUUGCCCUGAAAAUGUGAUGAAAGAAAAUUUUGUCAUGGAGUCCCUACCAUCUGUACCAUCAACUGAAGGAAACAGUCAACAAGGCAGAUUUGACGACCUGGAAAAUCUUAAUUCAUUAGCAAAAACUAGUCUGGAUUUAGGUUUGUGACUUUUGUUUCUCAUAAACACAAAUUACAUUAUUUUGCAAGCUUUCAGUUUUAUGUUUGUAUACAUGAAUUUCACCGUCAUAUUUUUAUUCAUUAUGAUGCUUUGAAUUUAUGUCUGCUUAAUAAUUAAUCUGCUUCAGAAUUACCUGAAAGAAUAAA
rnacentral:lncRNA from 1 species